UACGAGUCCCCCAAGCGUUAUCCGGAAUCAUUGGGCGUAAAGGGUGUGUAGGCGGUUUGGUUAGUCUUCCGUUAAAAUCCAGGGCUCAACCCCGGACUCGCGGGGGAAACGGCCAGACUUGAGGGUGCGAGAGGUGAAUGGAACUCAUGGAGUAGGGGUGAAAUCCGUUGAUAUCAUGGGGAACACCAAAGGCGAAGGCAAUUCACUGGCGCAUUUCUGACGCUGAAACACGAAAGCGUGGGUAGCGAAC
rnacentral:rRNA from 1 species